rnacentral:rRNA from 1 species
AAUAGAUACCCGGGUAGUCCACGCCCUAAACUAUGUCGACUAGUUGUUGGGGGGAGUCUGUCCCUCAGUAACGUAGCUAACGCGUGAAGUCGACCGCCUGGGGAGUACGGUCGCAAGAUUAAAACUCAAAGGAAUUGACGGGGACCCGCACAAGCGGUGGAUUAUGUGGAUUAAUUCGAUGCAACGCGAAGAACCUUACCUACCCUUGACAUGCCAGGAACCUCGCAGAGAUGUGGGGGUGCCCGAAAGGGAACCUGGACACAGGUGCUGCAUGGCUGUCGUCAGCUCGUGUCGUGAGAUGUUGGGUUAAGUCCCGCAACGAGCGCAACCCUUGCCAUUAGUUGCUACAUUCAGUUGGGCACUCUAAUGGGACUGCCGGUGACAAACCGGAGGAAGGUGGGGAUGACGGUCAAGUCCUCAUGGCCCUUAUGGGUAGGGCUUCACACGUAAUACAAUGGCGCAUACAGAGGGCUGCGAAACCCGCGAGGGGGAGCCAAUCCCGAAAAAGUGCGUCGUAGUCCGGAUUGUUCUCUGCAACUCGAG